UUAUUUAUUUAUGCCUCUUUGGUUUUAGCUCUAUUAGUAAUAUCCACUUUCUUUGAAACUUGGAUAUGCCCAAAUUUUCUUCAUCAUACGUGACUGAACAAUCUCUUAUGUGACUUUUAUUCCUAGGUGGCUAACCUAAUUAAUUGGGCAUUGUUUUAAAACCAUCCAUAGGGAAUUCUAGUCCUACAUUUGGGUAUCCAUGGACUCACUAUCUUGUGUGAGGCACGUGGGUGGAAAAGGACAAUUUUAAGGUGUAAUGUGGGAGUGACUAUGCCAUGCCUUGCAUCCUCACACUAGAUAGCUAACCUUGGCCACACAAACAAAAACAAAAAUGAAGUGAAAGGAAGGAAUAUUAUCUAGGUAAUCAGGAAGCAAACCAUGACAUUAAGGAUGAAAAUGUCUUGUUAUCAUUUGUGAUGAAUUUCCAUACCCAUUCUCUCAUUACCUUCUCUAACAACCCAAUGAAGUUCACAUUGUUCACACAGCAUAUUACAAAUGAAGAAACUGACCCUCUGCCAGGCUUUCAGAAUCCUUCUAUAGGGAGAGGCAGGGCUAGGAGAUGAAUGAGGACCUAUAGAUUCUGGAUCUGGUGCUUCUUCCUACCCCUCAGCCUUCGUCAGCUUUUCCUAUUUUACAAGGAGAAGUUUUUUCACUAUAGUUAAUCUAUUUGCAGGUCUGGUCUCAUUGGUUUAGAUCUCCAAUUUACUUUAUCAGGGUAAGUGGUUCCAAACCUGCCUCCCUAAGUUCUUGAGUUUUUUGUUUAAAUGAGGCUAAAUGGAAGGAAAUGUCACGGUGGGUGGAAAAUAACACGGGGCUGAGAGUUGGGAGAACAGAUUUUUACAUGAAUUUGAGAGAUAAUUUUGGGCCAUUCAAUCAAAUUUUAUCUUAUCUGUAAAAUGAGGGAGUUGGCCAUAGAUAUUGUCUAAGCCCCCUUCUGGGGAUUUUUUUGUCUGUGUCAUAAAGUCCAGAAAUUUCCUGAGCUCCUCAGUGUUCAAGGAGACCAAUUCUCUGUUUCUGAGUGUGACCCUCUGGACACACUUCGGGUGCCUAGAUUCCAGUCCCACUGGAGCAGUGCCCCAGCUCUGUCACCAAAAGCUAAGCAGGUAGAACCUCUGAGCUCCUGCCUUGUUCACACAAUGAGGAUGCUCAUUUUUGCUCUGCUGGCUUCACAGGGUGGUCUGAGGAUCAAAUGAGAUGAUAGUUGUGAAAACAUUUUUUUAAAAAGUCCAUGAACUUAAGUAAUUAGUCUUUGUCUUAAUCAUCACCUUCCUAUGGCAGCUAUCCUUCCCUCUAUCUUCUUGUUCACCGGGCUUAUCUGAAGGCUAAUGAGGAGUGCUGAAAGGCUAGUGGUGAGCAGCCUCAGUUGGGGAUGUCAGAGCUACAUUUCUCUAGGGCAUUAGGUCUGUAGGAGUCUAGGUACUCCUCAAACCCGGUUCAUUCCUGAAGCUAAGGGAAGGUCUAUGAAAAGACUCAUGCAUGUAGAAGGGAAGAAAAGAACAAUACUAUCCCUUAAAAAAUGUUUUAAAGUGUGAAUGCCAGGCAGCCUGGGCAUCUAAUGGUGGCAAGAGAAAAUGACCCUUGAGCUUAAUAAUUGGAUGGCUGUCACUGCCUUUCAGCCAUCCAGGCAAGGCAAUUGCAAACCUACUCUCUGUCUCUCACUACAGUGAGAUCUAGAGCCAAGCUUGUAACCCUUCUUGGCAUGUCAUUCGGAUCUUUUCUCAGUUCCUUAAUUAUUUAUUUAUUAUUAUGAAGACAUCACUUUGAAUCUGGGCAUGAGUACAAAACAGAAGGGGGAAAAAAAAAGCUAAAAAUCAGAACCACAAAGGUUAGCCAAGUAAAGAGGUCUCCAAGUACCUUUCCCUCCAUUUCCUCACUAGCCUCCCCUUCCUUCUUUCUUCUUUUGUCCACAUUAUGCACCCUGCAAAUCUCAGAGCCACUACCCAUCCAUAAUCAGACCUAUUUGCAGGAGUUUAAUUCAAUGCACUUAAUGGCCACGUUUAAAAUGCAGCUGAAUUUUGUUUUGGACCAAUUGCCCAUUUUUUUCUCUCUUAUCCUUAGUGACCCGGUCUGUUGAGUCUAAUCUUGGUAGAACUUGUCAGAACUCCCUUUGUCAAAACUCAAGCACAACUUAAGCUUAUUAUGCAGUUCUGUUUUGGAUUGUUAAUCUUUUGUAUUUAUUUGUGUUGGAUGGGUUUUGUAUUUAUCUAAAUCCUAUGUAUGGAUAUUUUCGUAUUUGCCUGACUCUUAUAUAUCAGGGACAGUGACAUAGGUUGGUUCACUGGUGACCCAGGUUCCUCCUAAUGCAGGAUCACAUUUGUCUAUAGUUUCGCAAGGCACUUCUCAGAAGGCAUAUUUGAUAUGAACAAGAUAAAUCAUUCCUUUGACACAUAGAUAUCAAUGUAAGUGUCCCAUGUGCCCUUAGGAAUUAUUAACUUAAUUCACUUCCAUGGGUAUUUUAAAGAACCCCAAUAUUUAUCGAACCUCUCAACAGUGUGCAAGUUACUGGGAGAAGGGAAAAGAAAUAUAGGAGAUGAUACCUCUUCUAAAGAGAGUUAACAGUUUGGGAGAAGAGGAGUCUUAACAUACACAGAUUUUUAGAGAAACAGACAAUCAAAUUGUGAAUUUAGAUGCAGAAAUUCAGGGAUAAUAAAUAGAUCAAUCAACUAGAGUGAAUGGAGGAGACUUUAUUGAAAAGGAAGGAUGUGACUAGGACUGUAAAGCAUAGAUUGAGUUUGAAAAGAAGGGGAGAAAAAUACACAAUGAGGGAAGGGUAUGACAGGAACAAAUUUGUAGAGGUAGGAAGACACAUGGUACAAUACAGAAACCUGUGGCAUUGGGCUCCAAAUGGGGUACGGCAGGAGAUAAGAGAUGUGAGGGAGGCUGGGACCUUAUUACCACAGGUUUGUGGCUGCAGUUAGAAGGGGCAGAGGUUUGAAACAAGAGCACAAUACGUGGUUUUAGGAAGUCGCAAGUAGCUAAUGGUACACAGGGUAGAUGAAAGAGAAUAAAUGGAGCCAGACUGGAUCAGCACAUUUAAGUUCAGUAGGGAACGUGUCGGAGGAGGUAGGAGACAACGUGAUGGUGAGAACCUGCUCCCCGCUGGACCCAAUCUGGAGGCUCCCCGUCCCUCCCGCGUACGUGGAAUAAAGGUUCCGCACACCUUUCCCGCAGCCGGAGCCCUUUCAAAGGGGCAACCUUGAGAGAGCAACCAGUGCGACGGUAUGGGUGGUACACGUGACUGAGCCGUGCUAAGGCCUCUUCCUAAACUUUAGGAUUCUGGCGGGUGAGUGGGGAGAUUUACUGCCCCUGUGGCCAAGGAACACAAGCCUCCUAAGAACAUUCCAUGCUCCUGGUGCUGGGAUUAUGAAGGCAAAGGAGAUACACUCCUGCCAUCCGUUUGCAUACUCCAGUCAAGAGAGGAAAAUGGGUUCAUAAAGAGAUGAUGAGAAUCAUAUGCAUUAAGCAUGAAACCAAAGGAAACAUUUUAAAAUAUCAGACAUACUCUAGGAAGUUGGUUCACAUCAGUAAGUAAUUCUGUUCCUUGUUGGAUAAUGUGUAAACUUUGAAGAAAAUACUUUUAAAAGUUUGAUGUAAUACUAUUUUAAUUUUUAAAUAAAAUAGUUUUUAAAAUUCACGUAAGCUCAAGGAACUCACCAGAAUGGAUUCGGGAAGGGCAAAAAUAAAACAACAAUAAAAUACUUAACUCGUCUCAGACUUUAGAGCCCAAGUAGGCUUUAAGUAAAUUAUGUGUGAUUUCUUUUAUGUAAAAGCAGGUGAUGUGAUGGGAACAACAAGAUGUCACAAAAGGCAGACCAAAACUUUUGUCCAUCUUCUUUUUCCCACCUUUGGUACUUGGAAUAUUACUUAUUCUUUCUAAGCUUCAGUUAUUUUUCAGCUAAUAUAUGACAAUGCUGGUAAUUCUUCACUCAAAAGAUCCAUUUGAAUUAAAUAAUAUAAUAGAGUCCUCCCAAGUGUUGUGGAUUUUUUGGCUCUGAAAAUAAAGCAGAAAACAAAAUAAGAAAAAAUGAUCCCUCAUAUAGCUUACAUUCUAAAGGGGGAGGCCGGACAAUAAAGAAACUAAAUGACAAAUGUAAUAUGCGCUAUGGAGAAAAGUAGGUCAGAAAAGAAGGGGAUAGAGAAUGCUAGGGCAAGAAGUAGAAAGAUGGCAAUUUUCAAAAAGGUCAUCCGAAAAGAUGGCAUUUGAAUAAAAGUCUCACUGAGGAGAAUGUUGCAGGCAGGGCAAACAGCAGGUACAGAAGCCCCAAGGCAGCAGUAUGCCUCCGGUGUAAGAAGAAAUGCAAAGAGACUGGUGUAGCCAGGGAGGAGUGAGUGAGUGGGGAGAGGUGGGAGAAGAUCCAGUCGGGGAGGGAACUGUGAGGCCAGAUCAUACAGGGCCUGGUGGGAUAUUGUCAGGACCCUGGUUUUUAUCCUGGGUGUGAUUGGAGGUUUUGAGCAGGACAAUGACGUGAUCUAGGUUUUUAAAAGGAGGACUCCCCCUAGAGUCUGGUGUCAGUGGAGGUGUGAGCAGUUAGAAUCUGCAUAUACUCUCCAGGGUAGAGCUGACAGGAUUUGUUGUUGGAUGUGGAUGUGAGAAAAGAUGAGAGUCAAGAAGGAUCAACUAUUUUGACCUGAGAAUCUGGUAAGAGAGAGUUGUUAACUGGCUAAGGCAGUCUGUGGCAGAAACAGGUGUUGAGGAGGCAGGAGGAUCCCCAGUUAACAUGUCCUAAAAUUUGAGAAGCUUUUAGGACAUCCCAGGGAAGCUAUGAGCUGGUACUUGUGCAAACACAUUGGUCAGAGGCUAAGUGUGGCAGAAUUCCAGGCUGGAUAUGGAGAACCGUGAGAGGUCACUGGUAGCCUUGAAAAGACACCUUUCCAUGGGGAGAUGGGAAUGAGAGCACUGUUCACAUAGUAGGUGCUCAAGAAACAGGAGUUGCCCUACUUUUAUUUUUCUUUCACCUUCUAUCUCAUACUGUUUUUAUGUAUAACUAGAUAUAAAUAGAGUCCAGGUGGCAAAUUACUUGUUGUGUGCAUGUUGUUUGUAUGUUUUCUUCAUUUAUUCUGAAGAAUGUCAUUCUAUAUCAGUUGGCUGUAGGCUCUGCUUCUUGGUUUAAAUUACUUUUAAUGCUUACCUUCAUUUGAACUAAGCCAUAUGUCUUUGUCCUUUCUUGCUGGUGAGCAUACCAUAAUAUUUAUCUUCAUAAGUAUUUGUUAAUAGACCAUCUGAAUUAUGGGGUGCUACCUUGUAAAGCAAGUUGAAUAAAAUUUUGAACGGACCUUUAGGCCCUUACUUUGGAAAGCCUCAACCUCAUGCUAAUAAACCAUAACCAAUAAAGGCUAUUUGGGUGCUUUAAAAAACACUGAGAAAAUGCACACAGAUUAUAAAUGAUGUUUUAUAUUAUGCCCAGUAUUGACAGGUGCAGUUGAUAUUUUAAGAUUUUUUUAAUGUGUUCAUCAAAAUAGCAACUGAUAUAAUAUUAGACCAUCUGGAGAUUCUUUACCUACUGAAUUAUUAUAAAUGUAAUAAAAUUCAAUUUUGUUUCUCCUCUCUAUUGACAUUGCUUUCCCAUGUGGCAUCAUACAUUGUUCAAUGACUUAGGGGGUCCAUAACAUAUUUAUGCUUCUAUUUUAUUUGUUGAUUUUAGAGUUUUGUGUUCAGUGUGUCCCUUUAUCCAUCCUUUACAUGAGGCCCACCGACAGCUCCCAGUUCAAAAGUAGCACAAAGGUAGGGAUGUCUUGAUUAUUCGUUAAUGAAGCAUUUUGGCUGGAAAUUUGCCCUCAGGAAAGCAGAACACGCUGAUUAGAAACAUGUGUUUUGAUGAAACCUUUUGUUCAGUGAAUCUAAUUUCUCUAUAAUGAACAUCUAUAAGUAUUGGUUUAAUUCUUUCUCAAGAGUUAAUUUUCCUGUCCUGUAGUUAUUCAGGGCAGUACUUAAAAGCAUAAUAUAUAGUCAUAUGUUUUUAGUGAUGAUUUUUUAUUUUAGAAAAUACCUACAGUACUAAGUUUUUGCUAAUGCUAUGGUGUUGAUCAUAUUGUAAUAUAUACAUAUAUCAAAUCAACACAUUAUACACCUUAAACUUAGACUAUAUUAUGUAUCAACUUUCAAUGUAAAACACAUUAAAAAUAAAAGCCAUGUAUAAAAACAGAAAAUACACAUUACACUAGAGAAAACUCCUUUGUUGAAAGAAUCUUGCAGAACUGUAUUAUCUUAGUCAAAUUUCAUUUAAAAUUAAAAAAAAAAAUUUCAGGGCAUCUUUUUUUUUUCUGACACAAAUCAAAUUAAUUAUGUCUAGAAUUAUAUUUCCAGUAAGAGGAAGUUUUUCAGAAAAACGAAAACUACCCACCUUUCACGAUGACCAAGUUCUACUCAGGAUGGGCUAACAGUCGUAACAGAAAGUCCAAAUUCUCAGUGGUGUGAUACAACAAAGUUUUCUUUUUCCUUCUUGACACCGUCUAAUUAGGAUGGGAGGGGUACUUUACUUCACACGGUCAUUUAGGGACCUAUGUUCUUUCCACGCAGUGGCCCUCCCCAUCCUGUCUCCAGAAGACUCAGUGUCCUUGGUGGGUUCAUUCCUACCCAGACAGAGAGGGUAGAGGACAAAGAAAUAGCAUGGCAGAUUGGUAGGAGUUUUUAGAGACCAGGUCUAGAAAUAGCAUGUAUCACUUCUAUCUAUCCAGUUAUCUGUCUAUCUAGCCAGAACUCAGUUACAUGGCUCCAUCUAACUGCAGAAUAGCUCAGAAAAAAAGGUUUAGCUGGGUGCCAAGAAAAAGUGAACACAGAUAUGCCUUGGUUUUAGCAAUCUGCCAAAGACCCUGUUAAGUUAGAAACCAACACACUCACAGUAGUGGGCUUCUCCUCAUCCCGCAGCCUCUCUUGAUGCUAUCGCUUUCCCCACCUACUCUUCUCUUCUGGUGUUUACCAAAUUGUGGAAACUGAGAUGGGAGGGAAUUGCACACUAAACUUAAAACCGAUGAAGAAAAUUGAGUUAUUUUUCUUAUUUAAAGGCAUACUUAUAAUUAACUUGUGCCAGUGUCUUUUGUCAUUACCUCUCAACACUACCCUUCUCGGUAUUUAGCUUGCUUUUUCCUAUAUCAGAGGCUGACAUCUAUUAAAAAUGAACUGCAGCGUGCCAUGCAGGCUUGCAGAUUAUGAGGAGACUCUGGUAUAUGGUUCGGUUAUGUUCCUGCACAGAAAUAGCCCUGGAUUUAACAUUUAUUGAACACCUACUAUGUAGCCGUGCUAAACCACUUAAAAGUAUUAAUUUCACUUAAUCAUCAGAACUACUGUGUGAGUCAGGACUAUCCUUAUUUGGAAGGACUGCUUUGAUUAAAAUCCAGACCUCUUUGACUCUAAAAGCCAGGCACUCUCCACAUCAGGCGGUCCAUUUACCGGCCCUCCCCUGUCUCACCCUGACUCCGCAGGCUUCUUUAAGGACAGAAGGCCCUGUGUAAGUCUCAUCAUGUUUGACCAUGUAGACAGGAGUAAUUGCUUAUCAAAACAGGCAAAUCUGUUGUGUGUAUAGACAUAGGCUGAGCCUGUAAUCAGACCUGUGUACUCAAACCAGGGAUUAGGAAACUAACUUAAAGAGACAUCUCUAAGUCAUGUGAAUAUAGUGAGAAAAAGAUUACAGAUAUUCUGCAUAUGGAUUAAAAAAAAAGGUUUAAGAAAAUGAAUGAGAAAAAUGAGCUUAAUGCUUAUUUCCCUAAAUUUGAGGUCAUUUUCCAAUAUAUUUUUUCUCUCAUUUUAUCUCCAUCUUUCUCUGUCUCUGUGAUUCAUAUUCUCUACCACUGCUGACAAAGGAAACCAAAGGAAAAAAGAAAAGAUUACUUUUUCCUUUUCUGUGGACUCCAAAUAAAAUGGACAUGGUAUCCUCUCCUAUGAUGGUCUGAUCUUUGCUUCCAUCUGCACAUCUGACCUAAUUAUACUAAUAAAAUGAGGAGGCAAAGGGAGAUAUUAUACUAACAAGUGCAGUUUUUAACUUGCACAAGAAACAUUUCUAAUCCCUUUGCCCUCCACUCUCCUUUAAACAGUGAUUUCGCAUCCCUUGAUGCUCAGCAGGGGGGAGUGGCAUUUGCCGCCCCAUGGCAAAAUGGAUCUGCAUGCGUUUACGUAAAAUUGGUCCACGUGUGAAUUAGCUUGGAGUUGUAUUGUGUUUCUUAUACUAAUAUAAUAUUGUUCUAGUGCUUGCCCCUGAUUAAAGAAAUACAUAAAUAAAUAAUUUAUAAUUUAAUUAAUAAGGUAUAAUAUGCAAAGCACAGUAAUUUCAAACAGCUUGUAAUGUCUCUAAUGUACUUUCAAUUUUUUAUUUUACAUAAGGGCUAUAUUCAUUAUGUGGUUAUGAUAAACAUACUAAUGAAUUUUAUUACAGGAACAAAUUUAAACAUGUAAAUGAGAUCAAAUAGUAUUAAAAUGCAAACGAUGGUGAAACUUAUUACAAACUAACCUUGCCAACAUACAUCGAAUGAUGUUAUUUUAAAACUUUGCAAGUUGUAUCACUUAAACAAAGGCAGUGCUUUUUACAAUGUCUCUGAACAUAAGAAUUUGUGAACUGUAAGCUUUAAGCUUUAUUCUCACAUGAACCCCUCAACCAAAAAAAAAAAAAAAAGAAGUUAACUGGAAUCCAGGGUUUGCAUGUAACUUUGGAUGACAAUUAAAAUCCCUUUUCUUGUUCCAGUGAACAGUAAUCUGUGCAUAAUUACAUUCAAAUGAGAUAUUAGCAUUUUUUGUGCUUACUCUUUGUUAAUUGCAGAGUUCACUCACCAUGGUGAUGCUUUUGAUGGAAUCAGGCAACCUUAUUGACCUGAUGCCGUAAGGCGUGUUGGGAAAUUCUGCUGUAUUCUUCAUUUUUUUUUUAUUUUGGCAUUUUGAGGAGUCCUGCUGCUUUUAUUACAUUCCUGACACUUUUGUUAAUAAAUCAUUGCAAAGUUAAUGAAAAUUGCAUUCAGGCAUAUCCAAAAUAAUUGUGUCCUUUGUCAUGCUAAUAAAUUGAAAGAUGUUGAUCCAAUGGGCGAACGCAUGCCCAUGAUGGAGAAGUUUGUGAUAUGGGUGCCUGUUGCACUCACACUGUUUCCUUGGCGCAUCAUUCCAUGUAAAAUGUGAAAGAGGGAAACAAACCUCAAUAUGUUUUAUUUCAUACUUUAUACAGUGAGCCUUUAAUUAAGUCAGCAAAUGGGCGAAUUAUAUCUACACAGAGAGAAGUAUUUGUGUUAUGAUUUAUGAAAGGUUGUUAAUAUCAAUAGGAAUCUGCAACAGUCUAGUAUCAGACUCAUGAAAAUAUGAAAACCAUGUUUAACUGACCUUUCUCUCAUGCCUGGGGAUUGUUCCACAUUUAUAUAUGACCCAUCUGAUUUAAAAAUGACAAUGAUAAUAACUCAACAUUUGUUUCCCAAGGCUUCUCCUGUACUAAUUCAGAAGGAAAGUGAAGAAACGUGAUUAAAAAAUUUGCCUUUUUUGGCAAAGCCUCAGAUUUUUCAUUCAGAAAGUCUUAAGGGUACAGGGUAUGAGUAAGGUGUGUGUUUGGGGGUAAACACACAGUCAUAUGCACACACAUAGGGAAGCAGGUUUGACAGUUCUAGGUAAGGAAGAGGAGUUUAGAAAAAUUUAAACUCAUAAUAGAUUACAUAUAUGUAUAUUUCAAAUUUAUCUCAAGGAAGAACUCCAAGUAAUUGUUGUCUUGGGGAGUUCUUAAUUUAUGCACUAGCCCAUCAUGCUGAUUUUAGGUAGGUAUUUAUUCUGCUAUUCAAUCAAAAAGCAUAGUUUCCAUAACAACUGCCACAUCCGAUGAAACGUACAGCUUGGCAUUUGAAAUACAGGACUUCUUAGGAGAUAUGCUUCCUGACAUAUUGUGUUGAACUUGUGUUCCUUUCAUUCUCUUUUAAGCUAGCAAGAUCUGUGUUUCUAUAAAGGACCAUCGCAGUUUUACAUAAUUAUUACAAUCCAUCUGCACAUUUCCAGGAUUUAUAUUAAAGUAAUUAAAGCCAUUUUGUAUUAGUGGGUGCUGUGUGGAACCGGCUUGGAUGCAGGAUUCUAAAAGUUCCCACUUGCCUGCUUGCUGUGCUGUAAUUUGGAGAACAGAAUGUUCCGUAAAUGAGGUUUGGGAAUACUACAUUUUUUUCUUUCUUUCCUUUCUUUGCAAAGUAACUUUUUUUUCCUCCAGUGGAAAAUGGAAUAAAAGGUUCACCUAGGGACUGGAAUUAAUGUAGUCCUUCUGCCUAGGGUUAAAAAAAGAGCAAAAUCACAGCUAGCAACGUUGUGCAAACCCUAAUAUAUUUUGCUUUUUCUAUGGAGAAAUAAUAAGCCUGUGUUUCUAAGGCAACUUUCUUCCAAAGAACAGCAAGCAAUUUAAUUUAUAUUCCCAUUUUUUCCCAGCAGUAUUUGUUCAAGGUAAACAAGGGCCAAUAUUAUUAACCCCAUUUUAUGGAUGGGAUGAUUGAGGUAGACAGGUAAUGGUAUACAGAGCAGAUAAUGAGCCAGAUAAUGUUGUAUUGAGAGAGGCACAUCGUAGCAGGAGUAAUAACUAAUACUUGUUAUAGCAGCCCCAUAGAAAGACCCAGAUAAAGGUACAAUACUGCAGUUGCUGAAAAAAAAAAUCGUGUAAGUUCCAAGCACUUUCAAAGGGAGAGUUUGGCACAGAUUCAACCACUUCUGACCUAUGUGAGACUCCUUGGCAUCUCCAUUGAGGUUUGCAAGGCAUAGGUUUGAUUCUUAGUGUUCAGUUCUGUCUCAUAAGGAUCUAUGAUUCCUCUGGAUGUCCAUAGGGAGGCCCAGAGGAUGCCAUACCAUUCAGUUAUCAGCAUGCUUAAUAAAAUGAAUUAAUUCAUGUAAAACAAAAUAAAGUAAAACAACUCUUUUUUUCCCUUCUUAGAGUUCUAAGUAUCAAAACUUUCUCUACUUUGAGGGAAUGGGUGGUGCUGAACAGUUUCUUCCCUGAGCCACUUCUCUGCCACACAAUUAUUGUCAGGCUUCCAAACAAAUGGUUAACUGUCCUUCCUGUGAUCCCAUCAUAUAUCUAGAAGAGUGGGUGAUGAUGAACAUUCUUUGUUACAAAUCGUAGCAUCCACAAAAUUUACAGGGUAUGGAAUCCUGUUUCUGCUAUAAUAGUAUAGCUGAGAUGUUGGGUGUCCUGGAGCUCAAGGUCUUGGUAUAGAGUAAAGGUUAUGCACAUGGACUUUGAAAUCAGACAGACCUGCUAAUGUGCCACAUAUUUGCUAUAUGCCUUGAGUCAGUUACUUAAUAGCACUGAGCUUUGGUUCCUUUUCCUAAAAAUGAGGAUAAUAACAACUUGCUCAUAGGGUUACUAUGAGUGUUUUGUGAAACAACAUUUGGAAAGUGCUUAGCACAUUGCUGGCAUAUAGUAAAGAUUUGAGAAAAGGCAGUUUCUAGGAUCAAUCAUCAUUCAUACAUUUUAGAACCUACCAAUUUGCAUUACCUAGCUUGCUCACUAAUUUCUUUUCCUUCUUUAGCCAGUCUAUCUCUUAAAGGCAGUUUUGUUUGUUUGUUUCAUAUGUGUGUGUUUUAGGUAAGAAAGGACUUGGGUUUGACAGUACAAUAACUGUUAGGUAUAUGAUCAUGGAAGGUGAAAAACCUUAACUGCAGUUUUCGUUUCCACUCACAUCCCACGACAUUAAACUUCUGAAACUCACAAGGUACAGUGGAGGCAACUGGAAUGAAUAAAAAGGUAAAGGGACUUCAUAAUGGGAUUCUAGAAGUGGACUUCUCAACAAACUCCAGAAUUUAACCUGCAGAGAGUUCUCAAAGCUUGAAAGAAGAAAUUUAGGGAAAGAGGAUAUAUUUUGCACAGUAGGUAUUAAAAUUAUAUAACUUUACCCUAAAAUGUAGUAUAUUUUGGAACUUACUUAAAGAGUUUUUUGAACGCAUUUUAUGGAUUUAGAUCCCAUGAUGUUAGCAACCAACAUCUAUAGGAUUAGGGAUCCUCUUAGAUGGGAGGUUGAGUAGACUAGUAGCUGUAGGCAUGGGGAUAAGAAUAUAAGAAUGAAGAGGGGCAUUGCUCAUAGAUACUUGCCAGGCUGGUUCCAGAAGCUAGGAUGACUAAGCCCAAAGUGUGUUACAUUUCUGAUAUUCUCAACAGAUUGGCCAUUGGCUUAUAACUAGAUAGUUCUUCUGAAAUAAUUUAAGCAGGAAUACACACACACACACACACACACACACACACACACACAGAGUCCUAGUGGACAUCACCAAAAAUAUCUUUAUCUGUCCCAUGGUCUGUAAAGGCAAAAUGCAAUACAAUUGUUUAACAAAACGUUUGUUAAAGUUUUGGUUGGGAGUUGAGAGGAAAUCCUGCUAUAUUAAUGUGCUAAAAUAAGAAAGUGUUCUAAUUCUGAGCAGUGCCCAUUUUCAUUUUUGUUCUAGCAAUGUUAAAAACUAACUGGCCUUCUUACACACGCUUACCUUUCUUUUCCUUUUUUUAAAAUACAUAUAUGUUGCUCAUCCAAAACAGACACUUUGGAGUGAUUGACUUGUUUAAUGCUUCUGUGCUUCAAUACAAGUUUUAUUGCCUAGAGUCUAUUUUACAGUGUGCUGGUGAGACAGCUCCUUUCUCGCACAUAAAAUCAUACAAAUCCAAAUUGUUUUUGUACAAAUAGAAUCUGUGACUAACAACUUGAUUUUAUUUAAUCUAAACGAGCACUCCUAAUAAUCUUCAGUUUUUUAAAAAGUAUUUUUUAAGCAUUCUAUUUUAGGUGGAGGUUAUUCAUGGUUUAGCUUUAUAAAGGAUCAGUGUUACACUGGGAACUCUUAAAGACUUGAUGCAUAUUCAGCUUCCUAGAAUAUCUUAUAGGACUGUACUUGGAAGUCCCGGGUUAUAAUCUUUUCUGCUACUAACUUUCACGUUCACUUGCUGCAGGUAACUUAGCAUCUUUAGUCCUCCAUUUCUUCAUUUGGGAAAAUAUAGAGAUACUAUCUGAAGUGUUCAGUAUUUCUAAAAUUCUGUAAUCCUGUGGAGGUUUGUUGUUGUUUCUUCUUUUAUUUUUGUUGUUUAUUUUUGGUAACAGGUCUUAUUGAACAAAACCUCUUUGGGGCUCCUCUACUUUUCAAUUAAUGCAGCAUACAAAAAUGGAAACAAAUCACUAGUAGAAACUCAACAGGAAAGAAAAGCUGAAUUGAAUAGUGUACCUUCUGUUAUGUAUAACAUCAGUUAUAUCAUGUUUCUCCUCUGCUUUGAAAACCUUAGUUGACUCCUCUCAGGUCCUCAUACAUUGGUCCCAGCCUUCACCUCAAGCUUCAUGUCUGCCUCUCCUGUGUCCAAUAUGCUGUGUGCUCCAGACUAGUUGAACAGCUUGCCAUUCUCUGAAUAUUUCAUAUUUUUUGACCCUUUCAUGCCUCUGUUCCUUCUGUUGAGGAUGUUCUUUCCCCUUCUUUGUUGUUGGUAAAACUCCCAUAUUUCCUGACUAACUUUAUUUUUUUUAUAAUGGUCAUCACUUACUAAUUCCUUUGUUAUGUACCUGUAUCUUUCAACAAAUGUUUGUUGACAAAUAAUUGCAGUCCAGAAAGUGCCUAGUGAUUCCAGAUCUACAGAACACAUUGUUCUAGAAACCAAUGAAGUCGCAUAGAAUCCAUACCUUUGGCAGAUGAAAGUCGUAGUAAAAUUAUUCCAGAAUUUCUUUGUUCUGGAUUUGGAGGUCAUCAGUUGAUGACCUGUCAUUUUGCCCUGAGUUGAGUCACUACCAGCAACCCUGAAGUGGUAGCUAGAGGGUCCAAGUUUCACAUUCUAAAUUAAAAAUUUUCUUUUUUAAUUUAUUGAGACACAUUUUUCCUGAUAAGUUAUACACGAUCAGAUUUAAGUUAAAGUCACAAUAAGCUACCACCUCUACAAUCCAGGAAGACAGCAUUUCUAAGUCUAGUUGAUGGAAAACAGAAAUCCGAAAUCCUAAGUAAGGGAUUCAUUUAAUGUAUUUCUCGGGGCGCCUGGGUGGCUCAGUCAGUUGAGUGACCAACUUUGGCUUAGGUCAUAUUCUCACGGUUUGUGGGUUUGAACCCCAUGUUGGGCUUUGCAUUGACAGCUCAGAGCUUUCUUCUAAUUCUCUGUUUCCCUCUCUACCUUUCCCCCUUCUCAAAAAUAAACAUUAAAAUAAACAAGGAACAUUUGAUAAGCUUGGAAAAGCCAGAUUUUGCUGUGACCUUCUCCAGCAAGAAUAGCAAGAGAGUGGUAAAUGCUAGUAAUGGAUCUGGGUGUUUCAUAAGUAUUUUAUUCCCAGUAUCUUGGUGGUUUCAUAGUAUCUUUUCUUAACCAGUGGGCCCCAGUAUUAACAGUGGUGGAGUCUGUUAGAUUCCUGCAGCUAUUUGCUGGAUAUACCAUUAGUAAGGGGCACUCAAGUGCUUCUUUAAUGAUUCGCCAAACUUGCCAAAUAUCUUAAUAUUGAGUGAAGCAAGAUUGGUUGGGAACAGCAUUCUCCUCCUUCCU